CCUACGGGAGGCAGCAGUAGGGCAUAUUGCUCAAUGGGGGCAACCCUGCAGCAGCAACGCCGCGUGGAGGAUGAAGGUUUUCGGAUUUUCAACUCCUUUUGUUCGAGACGCUAAUGACGGUAUUUAACGAAUAUGCAACGGAUAACUCCGUGCAAGCAGCCGUGGUAAUACGGAGGGUGCAAGCGUGACUCGGAAGCACUGGGCGUAAAGAGCGCGUAUGCGGGAUAGCAAGUCAGAUGUGAAAUCCUUUGGCUUAACCAUAGAACUGCAUUUGAAACUGUUAUUCUAGAGUAUGGGAGAGGUAGGUGGAAUUCUUGGUGUAGGGGUAAAAUCCGUAGAGAUCAAGAGGAAUACUCAUUGCGAAGGCGACCUGCUAGAACAUAACUGACGCUGAUGCGCGAAAGCGUGGGGAGCAAACAGGAUUAGAUACCCCAGUAGUC
rnacentral:rRNA from 1 species